UACAGAGGGUGCGAGCGUUGUCCGGAAUCACUGGGCGUAAAGGGCGCGUAGGCGGCCUGGCAAGUCUGUGGUGAAAGCUCGCGGCUCAACUGCGAGUCGGCCACGGAUACUGCGAGGCUCGAGUCUGGUAGAGGCUCAUGGAAUUCCGGGUGUAGCGGUGGAAUGCGUAGAGAUCCGGAAGAACACCGGUGGCGAAGGCGGUGAGCUGGGCCAGAACUGACGCUGAUGCGCGACAGCGUGGGGAGCAAACAGG
rnacentral:rRNA from 1 species